rnacentral:rRNA from 1 species
CCUACGGGGCGCAGCAGUGGGGAAUCUUGCACAAUGGGGGAAACCCUGAUGCUGCGACGCCGCGUGAGUGAAGGAGUAUUUCGGUAUGUAAAGCUCUAUCAGCAGGGCAGAUAAUGACGGUACCUGACUCAGAAGCCCCGGCUAACUACGUGCCAGCAGCCGCGGUCAUACGUAGGGGGCAAGCGUUAUCCGGAUUUACUGGGUGUAAAGGGAGAGUAGGUGGCAGGGCAAGUCAGAUGUGAAACCCCCGGGCUCAACCCCGGGAGUGCAUUUGAAACUGUCCAGCUGGAGUGCAGGAGAGGGAAGCGGAAUUCCUGGUGUAGCGGUGAAAUGCAUAGAUAUUAGGAGGAACACUAGUGGCGAAGGCGGCUUACUGGACUGUAACUGACACUGAGGCUCGAAAGCGUGGGGAGCAAACAGGAUUAGAUACCCGAGUAGUC